CCUAAGGUAGCGAAAUUCCUUGUCGGGUAAGUUCCGACCUGCACGAAUGGCGUAAUGAUGGCCAGGCUGUCUCCACCCGAGACUCAGUGAAAUUGAACUCGCUGUGAAGAUGCAGUGUACCCGCGGCAAGACGGAAAGACCCCGUGAACCUUUACUACAGCUUGACACUGAACAUUGAGCCUUGAUGUGUAGGAUAGGUGGGAGGCUUUGAAGCGCGGACGCCAGUCUGCGUGGAGCCAACCUUGAAAUACCACCCUUUAAUGUUUGAUGUUCUAACGUAGGCCCGUUACCCGGGCUGCGGACAGUGUCUGGUGGGUAGUUUGACUGGGGCGGUCUCCUCCUAAAGAGUAACGGAGGAGCACGAAGGUCAGCUAAUCACGGUCGGACAUCGUGAGGUUAGUGCAAUGGCAUAAGCUGGCUUGACUGCGAGAGUGACGGCUCGAGCAGGUGCGAAAGCAGGUCAUAGUGAUCCGGUGGUUCUGAAUGGAAGGGCCAUCGCUCAACGGAUAAAAGGUACUCCGGGGAUAACAGGCUGAUACCGCCCAAGAGUUCAUAUCGACGGCGGUGUUUGGCACCUCGAUGUCGGCUCAUCACAUCCUGGGGCUGAAGUAGGUCCCAAGGGUACGGCUGUUCGCCGUUUAAAGUGGUACGCGAGCUGGGUUUAGAACGUCGUGAGACAGUUCGGUCCCUAUCUGCCGUGGGCGCUGGAGAAUUGAGGGGGGUUGCUCCUAGUACGAGAGGACCGGAGUGAACGCACCACUGGUGUUCGGGUUGUCAUGCCAAUGGCAUUGCCCGGUAGCUAAGUGCGGAAAAGAUAAGUGCUGAAAGCAUCUAAGCACGAAACUUGCCCCGAGAUGAGUUCUCCCUGACCCCUUGAGGGUCCUGAAGGGACGUUGAAGACUACGACGUUGAUAGGCCGGGUGUGUAAGCGCAGCGAUGCGUUGAGCUAACCGGUACUAAUGACCCGUGAGGCUUAACCUUACAACGCCAGAGGCGUUU
rnacentral:rRNA from 1 species